AAACUUCUACAAGAACUUGGCCAUUGUGAGUGAGUAUUACAUCAGGUACUGAGUGAAAGUAGUUCAGUACCUUCUGUGAUAUUCUUACACAGUGAGUCGCCUGCAGUCACCAUGGAA
rnacentral:precursor_RNA from 10 species